UACAGAGGGGGCAAGCGUUGUUCGGAAUUACUGGGCGUAAAGGGCGCGUAGGCGGCCUUCUAAGUCGAACGUGAAAUCCCUGGGCUCAACCCAGGAACUGCGUCCGAUACUGGGAGGCUUGAAUCCGGGAGAGGGAUGUGGAAUUCCAGGUGUAGCGGUGAAAUGCGUAGAUAUCUGGAGGAACACCGGUGGCGAAGGUGGCAUCCUGGACCGGUAUUGACGCUGAUGCGCGAAAGCCAGGGGAGCAAACGGG
rnacentral:rRNA from 1 species